UACGUAGGGUGCGAGCGUUGUCCGGAAUUACUGGGCGUAAAGAGCUCGUAGGUGGUUUGUCACGUCGUCUGUGAAAUUCCGGGGCUUAACCUCGGGCGUGCAGGCGAUACGGGCAAUACUUGAGUGCUGUAGGGGAGACUGGAAUUCCUGGUGUAGCGGUGAAAUGCGCAGAUAUCAGGAGGAACACCGGUGGAGAAGGCGGGUCUCUGGACUGUAACUGACACUGAGGCACGAAAGCGUGGGGAGCAAACAGGAUUAGAUACUCGGGUA
rnacentral:rRNA from 1 species